rnacentral:rRNA from 1 species
GUAGGUCCCGAGCGUUGUCCGGAUUUAUUGGGCGUAAAGCGAGCGCAGGCGGUUUAAUAAGUCUGAAGUUAAAGGCAGUGGCUUAACCAUUGUUCGCUUUGGAAACUGUUAGACUUGAGUGCAGAAGGGGAGAGUGGAAUUCCAUGUGUAGCGGUGAAAUGCGUAGAUAUAUGGAGGAACACCGGUGGCGAAAGCGGCUCUCUGGUCUGUAACUGACGCUGAGGCUCGAAAGCGUGGGGAGCAAAC